CGGGACGUAGCGCAGUCUGGUUAGCGCACUUGACUGGGGGUCAAGGGGUCGGAGGUUCAAAUCCUCUCGUCCCGACCA
rnacentral:tRNA from 1 species